UGAGUUUGAUCCUGGCUCAGGACGACGCUGUGGGGCGGGCCUAACACAUGCAAGUCGAACGAGGCUUUCCGGUGCUUGCACUGGAAAAUCGAGUGGCGAACGGGUGAGUAAUACAUGAGAAACCUGCCUUGGAGACGGGGACAACCUCGGGAAACUGAGGCUAAUACCCGAUAUCCCUGCCGAGUCGCAUGACUUGGCAAGAAAAUACUCAGGUGCUCCAAGAGGGUCUCAUGCCCUAUCAGCUUGUUGGUGAGGUAAAAGCUCACCAAGGCUUAGACGGGUAGCUGGUCUGAGAGGACGAUCAGCCACACUGGGACUGAGACACGGCCCAGACUCCUACGGGAGGCAGCAGUGGGGAAUCUUGCGCAAUGGGCGAAAGCCUGACGCAGCCACGCCACGUGUGGGACGACGGCCCUCGGGUUGUAAACCACUUUCAGCAGGGACGAAAAUGACGGUACCUGCAGAAGAAGCCCCGGCCAACUACGUGCCAGCAGCCGCGGUAACACGUAGGGGGCGAGCGUUGUCCGGAAUUACUGGGCGUAAAGGGCUCGUAGGCGGUUUGGUAAGUCAGAUGUGAAAACUCCAGGCUCAACUUGGAGACGCCAUCUGAUACUGCCAUGACUAGAGUUUGGUAGAGGAGUGCAGAAUUCCCGGUGUAGCGGUGAAAUGCGCAGAUAUCGGGAGGAAUACCAGUCAGCGAAGGCGGCACUCUGGGCCACAACUGACGCUGAGGAGCGAAAGCGUGGGGAGCGAACAGGAUUAGAUACCCUGGUAG
rnacentral:rRNA from 1 species